UACGAAGGGUGCAAGCGUUACUCGGAAUUACUGGGCGUAAAGCGUGCGUAGGUGGUUGUUAAGUCUGAUGUGAAAGCCCUGGGCUCAACCUGGGAAUGGCAUUGGAUACUGGCGGGCUAGAGUGCGGUAGAGGGCAGUGGAAUUCCCGGUGUAGCAGUGAAAUGCGUAGAGAUCGGGAGGAACAUCUGUGGCGAAGGCGACUGCCUGGACCAGCACUGACACUGAGGCACGAAAGCGUGGGGAGCAAACAGG
rnacentral:rRNA from 1 species